UGCUGGAGGUAUCAGAAGUGCGAAUGCUGACAUAAGUAACGAUAAAGCGGGUGAAAAGCCCGCUCGCCGGAAGACCAAGGGUUCCUGUCCAACGUUAAUCGGGGCAGGGUGAGUCGACCCCUAAGGCGAGGCCGAAAGGCGUAGUCGAUGGGAAACGGGUUAAUAUUCCCGUACUUGGUGUUACUGCGAAGGGGGGACGGAGAAGGCUAUGUUGGCCGGGCGACGGUUGUCCCGGUUUAAGCGUGUAGGUGUGUGUUCCAGGUAAAUCCGGUUCACUUUAACACUGAGGCGUGACGACGAGGCACUACGGUGCUGAAGCAACAAAUGCCCUGCUUCCAGGAAAAGCCUCUAAGCAUCAGGUAACAUCAAAUCGUACCCCAAACCGACACAGGUGGUCAGGUAGAGAAUACCAAGGCGCUUGAGAGAACUCGGGUGAAGGAACUAGGCAAAAUGGUGCCGUAACUUCGGGAGAAGGCACGCUGACACGUAGGUGAAGUGAUUUACUCAUGGAGCUGAAGUCAGUCGAAGAUACCAGCUGGCUGCAACUGUUUAUUAAAAACACAGCACUGUGCAAACACGAAAGUGGACGUAUACGGUGUGACGCCUGCCCGGUGCCGGAAGGUUAAUUGAUGGGGUCAGCGCAAGCGAAGCUCCUGAUCGAAGCCCCGGUAAACGGCGGCCGUAACUAUAACGGUCCUAAGGUAGCGAAAUUCCUUGUCGGGUAAGUUCCGACCUGCACGAAUGGCGUAAUGAUGGCCAGGCUGUCUCCACCCGAGACUCAGUGAAAUUGAACUCGCUGUGAAGAUGCAGUGUACCCGCGGCAAGACGGAAAGACCCCGUGAACCUUUACUAUAGCUUGACACUGAACAUUGAGCCUUGAUGUGUAGGAUAGGUGGGAGGCUUUGAAGUGUGGACGCCAGUCUGCAUGGAGCCGACCUUGAAAUACCACCCUUUAAUGUUUGAUGUUCUAACGUGGACCCGUUACCCGGGUUGCGGACAGUGUCUGGUGGGUAGUUUGACUGGGGCGGUCUCCUCCUAAAGAGUAACGGAGGAGCACGAAGGUUGGCUAAUCCUGGUCGGACAUCAGGAGGUUAGUGCAAUGGCAUAAGCCAGCUUGACUGCGAGCGUGACGGCGCGAGCAGGUGCGAAAGCAGGUCAUAGUGAUCCGGUGGUUCUGAAUGGAAGGGCCAUCGCUCAACGGAUAAAAGGUACUCCGGGGAUAACAGGCUGAUACCGCCCAAGAGUUCAUAUCGACGGCGGUGUUUGGCACCUCGAUGUCGGCUCAUCACAUCCUGGGGCUGAAGUAGGUCCCAAGGGUAUGGCUGUUCGCCAUUUAAAGUGGUACGCGAGCUGGGUUUAGAACGUCGUGAGACAGUUCGGUCCCUAUCUGCCGUGGGCGCUGGAGAACUGAGGGGGGCUGCUCCUAGUACGAGAGGACCGGAGUGGACGCAUCACUGGUGUUCGGGUUGUCAUGCCAAUGGCACUGCCCGGUAGCUAAAUGCGGAAGAGAUAAGUGCUGAAAGCAUCUAAGCACGAAACUUGCCCCGAGAUGAGUUCUCCCUGAGACUUAGAGUCUCCUGAAGGAACGUUGAAGACGACGACGUUGAUAGGCCGGGUGUGUAAGCGCAGCGAUGCGUUGAGCUAACCGGUACUAAUGAACCGUGAGGCUUAACCUUAC
rnacentral:rRNA from 8 species